rnacentral:rRNA from 1 species
ACGGAGGGUGCAAGCGUUAAUCGGAAUCACUGGGCGUAAAGCGCGCGUAGGCGGCUUGGUAAGUCAGAUGUGAAAGCCCCGGGCUCAACCUGGGAAUUGCAUUUGAUACUGCCAAACUAGAGUGUAGUAGAGGGAAGUGGAAUUCCGAGUGUAGCGGUGAAAUGCGUAGAUAUUCGGAGGAACAUCAGUGGCGAAGGCGACUUCCUGGACUAACACUGACGCUGAGGUGCGAAAGCGUGGGUAGCAAACAGG